UUACAAAAAUGCUAGAUCCGACGUCCAAUAUUUGUUCACCACCUCCCUCACCGUGUUAAAGCCUCUCAAAACUCUAGGUGAAUAUGUACGAUCUGAUACCACGAUCGACGGUCAAAAUCAGCGAACCAAAUAGGGUAAAUCCACAAGAAUGAUGUGAUCCGCGCACACCUGCUAUACGUUUGCAGUGCUCGCAGGUAACAACAGUUCCGAAGGAGUUUAGGGAGUCACGGUGGUUGUAAUCCGGCGGCGGUAUGACGGGGUUAGGUUUUCCAGGCCCGAUCUGUUGUGUUGUCUGUAGAUCGAUCUCAUGCAAUAACAUUUGAACAGAAUCCGGUGCUCUCAAGUUGUUGCGUGACUCUGGUGGUUUAGGGUUUUCAGGACCGCUACAACUAUGACCAUAAUUCUGGUGAUCUCAGCAGCUCCCUGCUUUGUAUUUUGGCGAUCUAUUGGAAACUCGAUGCUGUUGCCAUGACUCCGGAAGCAGCAACACCGGUGUUUGUUACUCUCUCAAUGAGGAUGUAUCAGAGAUUGGGGUUUGAAUCGGUAAAUUUUACUUAUUUUUUCCGUUUUAGGUUCUAAUAACCUAAUCCAAUCAUCAAUUUGAUUCGUAUAAAUGUAUGUAUCAUAUGUUGUAGUCAUUGAUGAUUAUUUGAAUUUUGAUCGAGCAUAGUUCAAUCAGUAUUCAACGGUCAUACUAUUGCUUUAGACCUGUAGUAUCGUUACACUUAAAUAUUAUGUUGCUGCUAAGACCGUGGGGUAUGGUGGGGCGGGGGUUUGGGGCAUGGAUUGACACGUGGACUUCGAGGGCACUGCUGGUCAGUUGCAUGUUGGGUUGGUAUGGCGGGGCGUGGCUAGCCCGUGUGGGUUGGCCACGCGUUAUAAUUUUUUUUUCAACUAUUAUAAAAAUACAUACAAAAUUAAAAAAAAAAAGCCUAGCCACCUAUAGCCUAGCCAACCCAGCCACGGAAGACCGCUAGGCCCGCCCAACGCCCGGGCUGAAACCCCCGCCCAAGGGGCCACGCCGAAACCCAAGCCCACCCGGGGUGGUGACUUGGGCGUUUGUACCCAACCCACGCCCCAUACCCCAUAGUCUAACUUGCUAUAUCUUAAAAUAGUUGAUGUCGCAAAGUUAACUUUUUUUUGUUAAUGGUAAACACAACAGAAACUUCAACUUUUGUUGUUUAUAAGAUUAGCUAUUCAUAUCCUAAGAACACAUGAUGCACCAAAUCACCAAUUGCAGGAAACUGUUACCAUGUAUGCUUUUUAUCCGAAUAUAACUAUGAGGUAUGAGUUUAAUCCACCCAUACAAUUACGAUAGGUUGAGACAUGGGUAGGGCGGGGUGCGUAAUGAGUCAAGACGGCUCAUUAUUCGAAUACAGGUCAGGCCAAAUCAUGUUGAGGAUCUUGGAGAAGGAUGUGUGAAACAAGUUACACUUUCGGUGAUUCUUCACCUAUUUGGCCCGUUUUGUCUUCAGCUAAUUCUGCAUAUUCCCUGUUUUGGUUUAUCAGAUGCCAAAAUCCAAAGGGAUUUUAUCGUAUGGUUAUGCAUUUGGCUGCGAGGAUUGCGGGUACGCUUAUUAGAACUUAAAAGUUUCAAAAAGCUGCAAACAUGUUAAUACAGAAUUAGUAUGUCCCUAUGUGAUUUAGGCAGAGAAGAAAGUCAAAAUAACUUUCAUAUAUCAAAGUCAAAGUGUACGUCUAUAUAUAUGUAAUAUGUGUGUUCUUGAUGAAAACACCUACUGGGUGGAAUCCCAUACUUUUGCUCUUUGUAUGAUUUUUCUACUACUCAUAGAAAACACAUAUGUCAUUAAUUUUUAUUAUUGUUUUUUUUUUCCAAUUUGCAACUUCUAUGACUUUGGAUCACCCAAGAUGGCUUAUUGUUAUGGCUAACAUGUUUUCCAUCCUUCAUGUAAUUGGUGGCUAUCAGGUAUGACUAACAAUUAUGUGUGUCUUUUAUAUUUUUUUCCUUAAUUUCGCAUUACAUCAUUUGUUGGCAAGACUUUGAUGUCAUUUUUAGUUGUAGCAAAAUGGAUGACUUAGGUAAUGUGUUUAGACCAAGGUCGGUGCACAGCCAAAAUUACUAUUUUGUCCUUUGUUUCAUCCUCCACAUAAAUUACAAGAAUGCCAUGGAGAGAGAAUGUGGGUGUUGACUAAUUAUGUGUUAUGAAGAAGAACUCUAAUCUAUGUUCAUGCUUCCCAAAGUUGUCAGCACCGACUGUCGCAACCACGUCACGACAAAAACACAAAAAAAAUCUCUGGGUGUUGCCUAGGCGUGAUGUUCAAUUUAAUCACUCUAUUUUGCUUCUCUCAUUUUCAUCUUCACUAUUUUCAACCGGCGAGGUGACUCCCUUUUGGUUUCGGAAGAAGUUGUAACAUAAUGUUCGGUCGGGACAAUGACGGGUGGUGACACUGCCACAUCAGGUGUGCUUUUGGCUUUCGAGUCAGUAGGUUUAAGACAGUUCUCCGGGCGGGUAAAUAGGCCUACCGGCAACCUUGGUUAAGUAUGAAAACUCUCAGUUAUCCUUUUCUGUUUGCAUGUUUGAUAAACUUCGUAGGUGACCGAGAUUUGUUUGUUGGCGGCCUGAAUAGCAUCGACGAAAUUGUAAUAUUCCCCCUUUGUCUAAAAUUACAUUACAAGAUUGCCACUCGAUUCAACCCUUUUUAAUGUUUUUUUUUUCAGAGACCCAUAUCUAGGGAUUGACGACGUUUUCCGGCGGUGGUAGUUGUGUGGGUUAUCGGCGGUAUUGGCAGAGUGGUUUCCGACAAUAGUGGUAGGGAGAGGGUGAGAUGAGAGAGAGAGAAGAGUCGGGAAUUCCUAAGAUGUGACGGCGGCUGUUUGGUGGUUGCGGUCAGGUGGUGGUGACAUUUUUGUGAUGGAGUUGCACAGCUGGAAUGUUUUCCCGCCGCCAAAACCGGCCACCACUGGUGGUCCGUCCCCCACUCCUCUGUCUCUUACUCUCCUCGAAUGUUUUUUUGAAGAAUGGCUGAGGAAGGGUUGGUUUGAUGUGAGGAUGGUUGUAAGUUUUGAAGUUGAACCAUGGUUUAGAACAUGGUUUUGGCAUGUUCUAAGAAUUGGUUUUUAAACUUAGUUUUGACAUGUUUUUAGAACGGUAUUUAAACCGUUUUAUGAAAUAAUACUCAAAAUUAUUA